rnacentral:lncRNA from 1 species
CGGUAUAAAUAGAGGCAUGAAAUGUGAUAUGAGAUACACUUGAAUACUUGAUGAAAUAAGAAAGUUAUUUAUUGUUCUACUAUCUAUGACUUAUCUUCUUGUUUUAUAUUGUUACUUUGAGCUACAUUUUUGAACAAGGACUAAACGCAUACACUGGUCUUCAAGUGAUAAGGUACCCCUUCCCGAUGCUAUUGAAAUACAGAGCAUAAAUGAAACCUUUAACCAUUUUUCAUGACCUUAACCGAAAAUGAGAAUAACAAAAUUCUAUAUCGAGAAGUGAACCAAAUCAGUCUGAUUGCACACAGAAAUGGAUUUGAUUCCAUCUGGCUGCCGUUAGCUAUUGUAAAGGACUAGGAGAAGUAACGUUCUGACGAGGAGUUAGCUUGAGCACAACUAGUUGUACAUUCUACAGAUAUGGACAUUUGAGUUCCAACAGAAGCUACAAGCUCUGGUACGCUAAACACAUGCUAAAUCUUUGACAUCUUUUUCCAGCUACAACAGGAAAGUAUUUUCUACAGUUCAAACAACCCUAACUUCAACAGAUCAAUCGAUGUCUUACUUGGAGGGAGCUGCCGCGGGAAGAUUGAUCAAUUUGAUCUUCAAUUCUAUAUCCCCAGACUCCACCUCACAGAGCCUCAA